rnacentral:rRNA from 1 species
GUGAGGAAUAUUGGUCAAUGGGCGGGAGCCUGAACCAGCCAAGUCGCGUGAAGGAAGAAGGAUCUAUGGUUCGUAAACUUCUUUUGCAGGGGAAUAAAGUGCAGGACGUGUCCUGUUUUGUAUGUACCCUGAGAAUAAGGAUCGGCUAACUCCGUGCCAGCAGCCGCGGUAAUACGGAGGAUCCGAGCGUUAUCCGGAUUUAUUGGGUUUAAAGGGUGCGUAGGUGGUUUGAUAAGUCAGCGGUGAAAGUUUGCAGCUUAACUGUAAAAAUGCCGUUGAAACUGUCGGACUUGAGCGUAAAUGAGGUAGGCGGAAUGCGUGGUGUAGCGGUGAAAUGCAUAGAUAUCACGCAGAACUCCGAUUGCGAAGGCAGCUUACUAAGCUACAACUGACACUGAAGCACGAAAGCGUGGGGAUCAAACAGGAUUAGAUACCCUGGUAGUCC